rnacentral:rRNA from 1 species
AGUGAACGCUGGCGGUAGGCCUAACACAUGCAAGUCGAACGGCAGCACAGUAAGAGCUUGCUCUUACGGGUGGCGAGUGGCGGACGGGUGAGGAAUACAUCGGAAUCUACUUUUUCGUGGGGGAUAACGUAGGGAAACUUACGCUAAUACCGCAUACGACCUACGGGUGAAAGCAGGGGAUCUUCGGACCUUGCGCGAUUGAAUGAGCCGAUGUCGGAUUAGCUAGUUGGCGGGGUGAAGGCCCACCAAGGCGACGAUCCGUAGCUGGUCUGAGAGGAUGAUCAGCCACACUGGAACUGAGACACGGUCCAGACUCCUACGGGAGGCAGCAGUGGGGAAUAUUGGACAAUGGGCGCAAGCCUGGUCCAGCCAUACCGCGUGGGUGAAGAAGGCCUUCGGGUUGUAAAGCCCUUUUGUUGGGAAAGAAAAGCAGCAGGUUAAUACCCCGCUGUUCUGACGGUACCCAAAGAAUAAGCACCGGCUAACUUCGUG